AUACUGAAUAGCUGGCAGGUGUUCUUCUAUAUACCAUGUAAGUAAUUUGAAUUUAUUAUUUUUCUAUAUGCAAAUAUAGUUUCACUAAGGAUAUACUUUGUAUUUAUUAGAAAUUGUUAUAUCAGUUAUGGCCAAUGUUUUUACAAUGCCUCAUUGAUUUUUCAUCUUCUCUCAACUUUAGAAUUGCUCAGUUUUCCCCCCACUAUUUGAUGUUGGCUUAUGCUGAUUUUCCUCCUUUAUUAAAUAUAGUAGAAUAAAUACUGCUAUACUUUGCUUCCGUUAAUUAGUUAUUUGACCCUUGAACUCUUUAUGUUUGUGUUCAUUUCUUUACAUCUUUGUUUUCCAAAGUAAUACAUAAAGGGCUGAUAUAACUAUAGGUUUUCACUCCUACAGGAUCACACAAGGCUUGACACAGUUUAUUAAUUAAAUCAGAUGUGCUCUUGAUAGAUAGGAAAGAAAACCUGCAGCCACAAUAGCAUUUUGCAAAUAAGAUGUGAAAUCAGCUACGGUUAUCAGCCCGACGGCCCGAGGAGUGUCCAGCCCCACAGCACGAGGUGUUGCCAGCCCAACUUGUGAAGCCAUGUUCACUAAAAUUCUAACAGUUUUAGAAGAAGUGAAGGAGACACAACGUGUUCAUGGAAAGAUGUUGAAUGUCCUGCUGAAAAAGCAAGACGGAUCAGUGGUAGAGGUUCCUGAAUUGGUCUUACCUCUGAAAACCCAGGCUGACCUUGAGGCUCUUGAUCAGAAGCUGGGGGAUCGUAGUGUCAUGUCUGCUGUUGUUGCCAUGGUGGCAGAUGUGGGCGGCACAAGUAUAGAUGACGCAACGAGAAGAAUGAUGAAAUACAUCUUUUCAAAUGAGCUGGCAUUGGAGUACAAUUUGUUUGGCCGUCAUGGGACUUUAACUUUAGAUUUGCGUAUUUUCAACAUUGUGUAUGGUAAGUAAAUUAACUAAGUAAAAACUUUGGUUGUUAAUAAUGAUCUUAAAUUUGAUGGUGACACUUUACAAUAAGUUUACAUUGGUUAAUGCAUUAACUACCAUCAGCCAAAAGUGAGCGAUGCUUUUGUUACAGUUUUAUUCUUUGUUAACAUUAGUUAAUGAAAACAACUAACCAUUGUUAAUUCAUAUUAGCUCAGGUCCAUUAAGCUAUAUUAAGAGCUAAAAUGUUUUAUUUUGGUUAUGUAUUAGUAAAUGUUGAAAUUAACAUGAACUAAGAUUAACAAAUGCUUUAGAAGUAUUUGUCAUUGUUACAAAGGUAAUUAACCAACAAAAAAGGUAAUCACACAAGCUAAAUUUUCCUGUCACUUUCUGCUGUGAGUUUGGACUGCCUUAGACAGAGAGCAGACACAUCAAAUCAGGUUUGUUGCUUUACAUCCAUUAGACAAUGUUCCUCCACAUAGCAUUUCUUUAGAACAUACACACCAAAUGUGUAUAUAUUUCUUGCGACCUUGUAAUAAUUCUACACUUUUGAUGACAUGACUGCAGUUCUAAAGUUCAUUGUCAUCAAAUUUUGAGUGGUGUGUUAGAUCCACCAAAUUUAAUAACUACUGAAUUGAGUCAUCCAGAAUGUGAUUAUCUGCUGCUGAUCCGCGGGCAAUUGAUCAGACCAUCCCUAUUUGUAAUAUUAAUUAGUUUGUAUUAACAAUUCAUUUGUUUUUGCAGAGGCUCUUAAGAACAACCCCC
ensembl:lncRNA